GUUUGCCUCAGUUUGAUCUUUUAAUAUUAAUUCCUCCUGUUUCUGUAGCUUUCUGUCUUUUUAUAUCAAUAUUAGGAGAUAUUUAACAGUGUCUCUUCAAAUAGUACUUACUGCCUCCUUUCCCCCAUCACCCCCAACCCCUUCUCCUUCUAGACUCCAACAGCAAUCCUGUAAUUCUUUGUUCUGUCCCAUGAAUAUUUUGUAUUCUUCCCUAUAUUUUUAUUCAUGUUCACUUCAUGUAUUCAUCUGGGUAUGUAUGUGUGUGUGCAUAUAUAUAUAUAUAUGUGUGUGUAUAUAUAUGUGUGUAUGUAUGGGUAUGUAUGUGUGUGUGCAUAUAUAUAUGUGUGUAUAUAUAUGUGUAUGUGUGUGUGUGUGUGUGUGUGUGUGUGUGUGUGUGUAUAUAUGGACUUAUUUUUCCUUCUACUAAUACCUAAUUCAGCUGUGUCUAGUAAUAACUCCUCAUGAGUCUCAGUUAAAAUCAUGGAGUAUUUUCCAAGGCUCUUCCUCUUAGUUAGGACCUAAAUAACAUUUUUUUUCUUUCAGUACUAUAAGAGUGCUCUGCUAUUGAUUUAGCUUCUUAGUUCUCACUUUCAGCUUGCUUACCUUACUUCUCACACCCUGCAGAUUAGACAUUAAGAACCACUAUACAAGCAAAGAAUCACAUGGUAUGCCUUUCUGUUGCUGCCUUUGCUCCGAGAUCUUGGUAUUUUAAUUCCAAGCUACUGUGGUAGCCUUGAACUCAAAUUUUUGUUUCCACAGUUCUAAGCCACUUCAAAAAGCCUCUCCAUUUUACUUGGCUUAUGGCCCCUGUGCUACUGACAAGUUGGCAAAUGCCUCCAGAACAGAAGUGGCAAAUGAACAGUACCGAAGUCCUUUCAUUGUGUUUUUCUUCUCUGGGGAAUUUAGGGCUUUGAAGUCCUGACUGCCUAAGUUGCUUUCCAAUAUCUUCAAGCAGCAGUUUUCAUUUUUAAUCCAGGUUUUAUAUUUUCUCAUGUUGAGAAACAUUAGAAGUGAGCUAUUCUACCAUAACAAGAAAAGAAAAUCCCUGAAGUCAGUUUCCAAUCCAGUUUUUAAAAGAUGGCGCUGUGAGAACAACCCAGGAUUGAAGCUCUCGUUGAAUCCGCGGAGAGGUGAGUUGGAGCUGCAUUUCCAGACUGAUCUUUGUUGUCCACAGAAUGGGGAAAUUCCCAAGCAUAAAGGAGACGCGGGACGCCAGGCAGUAACUCUGCCUGGCGAAGCCGGCAGCCGGAGUGGCGGCGGCCAGCCCUACCCAGCGCUCCCCACAGGGCGCGCUUGUCCGGGUGCCCUGUUGAACCAGCAACCUGAGACAUGAGAGGGCUGGACUUGAGACUGACCGAGACUUGGACAGUGGGCCAGCCCAGGAGAUUGCAGGGACAGAGCGUUUGGGGUAGCCCAGUGGGACGGACAAAAUGGUGAUUCCAAAUGCUCCCCAUGCAGACAGUCUGAGAUGCUCUGUGGGGGAGGGGCGUCCACCAUUACCGAGGCAACCCGCCCCAACUGAGAUACACGCCCACUGCUGACACAGCCAGCUGUUGCUGAGGCAACCCGUCCCUACUGAGAUACACGUCCACUGCUGACGCAGCCUGCCAUUGCGGAGGCAACCCGCUACAACAGAGAGACUCCGCCGCAGGGCGUAGCCGGUGGCGGAGACCACAGCAGAACAGCAGAGCCUGCAGCAACAGGGUGAACCACACAACAGCAGGGCGGAGCCUCGGCAGGCAAACAGUGUCUAGUCUGCCUCCUAGCUGGGCAGGACACCUCAACGGACAUCAAAAAUAAAGCCCGAACCCCCAACACAGAGCAUUUGAGAAAAUAAGGGUUUUUUUAAUGAGCUCUGUUGCAGCAGAAUCAAACAUAGCAGCCUAACAGCCCUGAACGAACAACAGAGCUCACAGCUCAGCAAUUGAGUUCCUAUGAAGUACAGACUGUCUCCUCAAGCAGCUCCCUGACCCCUCUAUAUCCAAAAGACUGACAUUUGGUAGACAUCAUCCUGGGACAAAGAGAGCAGAAAAAGAAACUGGUAGCAUCCCUCACUGUGCCACAGCUGCUAUAGGUGCACCCCAGACAAGAAGGGCCUGGAGUGGACCUCAGCAGUCGUACAGCAAAGGGGCUAGACUGGUAGAAGGAAAACCAAGUAACAGAAAGACCUCAUCAUCAACAAUCUGGGUGUCCACUCAGAGACCCAAUCGAAAAGUGAGCAACUACGCAGAUGACAAGCAGAUAAAUCCACAAAGAUGGGAAGAAACCAGCGCAAAAAGGAGGAAAAAAACCCGAAACCAGAACACCUCGCCUCCUAGAAAGGACCAAAACUCCUCACCAGCAAGGAAACAAAGCUGGACAAAGAAUGACUGUGAUGAAAUGAUGGAAUAAGACUUCAGAACGUGGAUAAUGAGAAACAUUUGUAAGCUAAAAGAACAUGUAUUAAAUCAAUGCAAAGAAACUAAGGAACUUGAAAAAAGAUAUGAAAAAAGAUUUGAGGAAAUGAUAACAGGAAUGGAUAACUUAGAGAGGAAUAUGAAUGAAUAAAAGGAGCUGAAAAACACAAUACUAGAACUUCGCGAAGCAUGCACAAGUUUCAAUAGCCAAAUUGACCAAGCAGAAGAAAGAAUAUCUGAAGUUGAAGACCAACUCAAUGAAAUAAAACGAGAAACCAAGAUUAGAGAAAAAAGCGCAAAAAGGA
rnacentral:lncRNA from 1 species